GACGGGGGGGGCAAGUGUUCUUCGGAAUGACUGGGCGUAAAGGGCACGUAGGCGGUGAAUCGGGUUGAAAGUGAAAGUCGCCAAAAAGUGGCGGAAUGCUCUCGAAACCAAUUCACUUGAGUGAGACAGAGGAGAGUGGAAUUCCGAGUGUAGAGGUGAAAUUCGUAGAUAUUCGGAAGAACACCAGUGGCGAAGGCGACUUACUGGACACAUAUUGACGCUGAGGUGCGAAAGCGUGGGGAGCAAACAGG
rnacentral:rRNA from 1 species